UUGAACGCUGGCGGCAUGCCUUACACAUGCAAGUCGAACGGUAGAGGGGCAACCCUUGAGAGUGGCGAACGGGUGAGUAAUAUAUCGGAACGUGCCCAGUCGUGGGGGAUAACGCAGCGAAAGCUGCGCUAAUACCGCAUACGAUCUAUGGAUGAAAGCGGGGGAUCGCAAGACCUCGCGCGAUUGGAGCGGCCGAUAUCAGAUUUAGGUAGUUGGUGGGGUAAA
rnacentral:rRNA from 1 species